GCAGUAGCCACGGGAAUACGUAGGUGGCAAGCGUUGUCCGGAAUUAUUGGGCGUAAAGGGCUCGCAGGCGGUUUCUUAAGUCUGAUGUGAAAGCCCCCGGCUCAACCGGGGAGGGUCAUUGGAAACUGGGAAACUUGAGUGCAGAAGAGGAGAGUGGAAUUCCACGUGUAGCGGUGAAAUGCGUAGAGAUGUGGAGGAACACCAGUGGCGAAGGCGACUCUCUGGUCUGUAACUGACGCUGAGGAGCGAAAGCGUGGGGAGCGAACGGGAUUAGAUACCCCAGUAGUCCUGUCUCUUAUACA
rnacentral:rRNA from 1 species